rnacentral:rRNA from 1 species
AGAGUUUGAUCCUGGCUCAGGAUGAACGCUAGCUACAGGCUUAACACAUGCAAGUCGAGGGGAAACGAUAUUGGAAGCUUGCUUCCGAUAGGCGUCGACCGGCGCACGGGUGAGUAACGCGUAUCCAACCUGCCCAUCACUUGGGGAUAACCUUGCGAAAGUAAGACUAAUACCCAAUGACGUCUCUAGAAGACAUCUGAAGGAGAUUAAAGAUUUAUCGGUGAUGGAUGGGGAUGCGUCUGAUUAGCUUGUUGGCGGGGUAACGGCCCACCAAGGCGACGAUCAGUAGGGGUUCUGAGAGGAAGGUCCCCCACAUUGGAACUGAGACACGGUCCAAACUCCUACGGGAGGCAGCAGUGAGGAAUAUUGGUCAAUGGGCGAGAGCCUGAACCAGCCAAGUAGCGUGCAGGAUGACGGCCCUAUGGGUUGUAAACUGCUUUUAUAAGGGAAUAAAGUGAGUCUCGUGAGACUUUUUGCAUGUACCUUAUGAAUAAGGACCGGCUAAUUCCGUGCCAGCAGCCGCGGUAAUACGGAAGGUCCGGGCGUUAUCCGGAUUUAUUGGGUUUAAAGGGAGCGUAGGCCGGAGAUUAAGCGUGUUGUGAAAUGUAGACGCUCAACGUCUGCACUGCAGCGCGAACUGGUUUCCUUGAGUACGCACAAAGUGGGCGGAAUUCGUGGUGUAGCGGUGAAAUGCUUAGAUAUCACGAAGAACUCCGAUUGCGAAGGCAGCUCACUGGAGCGCAACUGACGCUGAAGCUCGAAAGUGCGGGUAUCGAACAGGAUUAGAUACCCUGGUAGUCCGCACGGUAAACGAUGGAUGCCCGCUGUUGGUCUGAAUAGGUCAGCGGCCAAGCGAAAGCAUUAAGCAUCCCACCUGGGGAGUACGCCGGCAACGGUGAAACUCAAAGGAAUUGACGGGGGCCCGCACAAGCGGAGGAACAUGUGGUUUAAUUCGAUGAUACGCGAGGAACCUUACCCGGGCUUGAAUUGCAGAGGAAGGAUUUGGAGACAAUGACGCCCUUCGGGGUCUCUGUGAAGGUGCUGCAUGGUUGUCGUCAGCUCGUGCCGUGAGGUGUCGGCUUAAGUGCCAUAACGAGCGCAACCC